UUGGAAAGUCCGAUACGAAUUAAAGAUAAUAGAUGUAUUCUAUUCUGUAAAAACAGAAGAGAUUUAAAAGAAACUAAACAAACUAUUCAUGGCGAACUUAUUAAUCUUAUCUUCGUUGCUUGAAAAAUUCUUGGGGAUUUAUUUAUUAAACCCAGUAUGUAUGUAGAGUAGAUAAUAAAUAAAUAUAACAGAAUUCGGCUUAU
rnacentral:RNase_P_RNA from 1 species